UGACUCCCACUUCCCCGUUUUACAAAAUCGAGAGAGAGAGAGUUCAAACCCUAACGCUUUUCACCCACUCAUUCAAUCUCACUUUUCUCUCAAUUCGGAACUCCGAUCAAAAACCCGUUUGUGACCACACGAUCACCUCAUCAUUCUCUUCGAUUCUAUCAAACUUUUGUGGGAAGCUUAAUCUCGAGUCUAGAGUGAUUUUGACCCAAAAUUUUGUAGUACAAGAUUCAGUAGAGUUGCUUGAUGGUUUUGGUGCGGAUUUGGGUGUAACACUUGAAUGGAGGAUGAUCAGGCAAGGCUUGGUUGUGUUGAUUAAAGCUUGAGUGUGAUCGGAGAGAAGAUUCAAGGGAUUUGGAAACCGUCAUCAACAAAGGUACUUGUCUUGAUUUCGGGGGAAUAUUAUAUAAUGUUAUGUGAAAAACUAGGCUGUAAAAUGCAGUUAAAUAAUAAAUAAUUAACUAAUAAAUUAAUCAUGAGCAAAAAGGGUUAAAAGAUUAAAAUUUUGUAGUUGAAAAAAUUAAAAAUAACUAGAAUACAAAUUAAAACACUAAUCUUAAAGAGUUUGGCCUAAAAUUGGGCCAACAAGCUAAAACAAGUAAACUAGACCCAUGUUGGGCCCAAGCCCACAUACAUAACUCCUCUAGCUUAGCCAAGAUUCCUCAUUUCCCCUUUCUUCAUUGAGUUCCAUGGAAGUGAAGAGAAGAGAAUGAGAAAACCUAAUGUCACUAUUCAUCCUCUUCUUAAAUUGAUCAUAACUUUCAAUCUGGAGUUUCGAUUGACGAGCCGUUUGUGGUCACGCAUUUGUUUCGGAAUCCUCUUCAUUUCUAUUUGAACAUUCUGGUAAGAAACCCUUAAAUCUUUUCCCAUUUCUCCUUUUACUUUAAUUUCGCAUGUUUGGUUAAAUGAGUAUUGAGAUAUCGUGAUUUUGAUGCUUUAGGGAAAGCUCAAGCACAAUCUCAAGCGGAGUUUUGAUCCAAGGCUAUGAGAAAUAAGAUGAAAUAGAGCUUGUUUGGAUUAAUUAUGGGGUGAAGCGGAGCUAGCCCGAUAGAAUUUUGGUGCGGAAUUGAUUCAAAGAUCGUUUUGGUGUGGAGUUGGUAGAGCUUGAACUGAUGGACUUUGGAGAUUUUCGAAGGAAAGCUUUCAAGGUUAAGACCUCCGUCAACAAAGAUGCAGGAUGAGAUGCACCUCGUUGAGAGUGCUGAUUUUCUCUCAGAAGUGAAGAUUAUCUUUUGGGACUUUUCAUUUUGCUUUAGAUGUUGUUAUUCUCCACUUUUGUAUAUUGUAUCUGUAUAUCCCUCAUAGAGCUUAAUUAUGGAGAAAUAUGUUGUAUAUUUUGUGUCUUUUUAGGUUGUAUUAUACUAUCUA